rnacentral:rRNA from 1 species
AGUGAACGCUGGCGGUAGGCCUAACACAUGCAAGUCGAACGGCAGCACAGUAAGAGCUUGCUCUUACGGGUGGCGAGUGGCGGACGGGUGAGGAAUACAUCGGAAUCUACUUUUUCGUGGGGGAUAACGUAGGGAAACUUACGCUAAUACCGCAUACGACCUACGGGUGAAAGCAGGGGAUCUUCGGACCUUGCGCGAUUGAAUGAGCCGAUGUCGGAUUAGCUAGUUGGCGGGGUAAAGGCCCACCAAGGCGACGAUCCGUAGCUGGUCUGAGAGGAUGAUCAGCCACACUGGAACUGAGACACGGUCCCGAAUCCUACGGGGGGCAGCAGUGGGGAAUAUUGGACAAUGGGCGCAAGCCUGAUCCAGCCAUACCGCGUGGGUGAAGAAGGCCUUCGGGUUGUAAAGCCCUUUUGUUGGGAAAGAAAAGCAGCAGGUUAAUACCCCGCUGUUCUGACGGUACCCAAAGAAUAAGCACCGGCUAACUUCGUG